CGCCAGACUCCUAGAGGCAGCAGUGGGGAAUAUUGCACAAUGGGGGAAACCCUGAUGCAGCGACGCCGCGUGGGUGACGAAGUAUUUCGGUGUGUAAAGCCCUAUCAGCAGGGAAGAAGAUGACAGUACCUGACUAAGAAGCCCCGGCUAACUACGUGCCAGCAGCCGCGGUAAUACGUAGGGGGCAAGCGUUAUCCGGAUUUACUGGGUGUAAAGGGAGCGUAGGUGGCAUGGCAAGCCAGAAGUGAAAACCCGGGGCUUAACCCCGGAACUGCUUUGGAAACUGUGCAGCUAGAGUGCAGGAGAGGUAAGUGGAAUUCCUAGUGUAGCGGUGAAAUGCGUAGAUAUUAGGAGGAACACCAGUGGCGAAGGCGGCUUACUGGACUGUAACUGACGUUGAGGCUCGAAAGCGUGGGGAGCAAACAGGAUUAGAUACCCCUGUA
rnacentral:rRNA from 1 species